CCCUUAGAUGUUCUGGGCCGCACGCGCGCUACACUGAUGCAUUCAACGAGCCUAUCCUUGACCGACAGGUCCGGGUAAUCUUUGAAUCUGCAUCGUGACGGGGAUAGAUUAUUGCAAUUAUUAAUCUUCAACGAGGAAUGCCUAGUAGGCGCAAGCCAUCAGCUUGCGUCGAUUACGUCCCUGCCCUUUGUACACACCGCCCGUCGCUCCUACCGAUUGAAUGCUCAGGUGAGCCAUUCGGACUUUCAUCAUGCUGGUUUCCAGUUUUGAUGAAGGAAAGUCUUGCGAACCUUAUCAUUUAGAGGAAGGAGAAGUCGUAACA
rnacentral:rRNA from 1 species